UACGGAGGGGGCGAGCGUUAUUCGGAAUUAUUGGGCGUAAAGGGCGCGUAGGCGGCCCGGUAAGUCAAAGGUGAAAUCCCUCGGCUCAACUGAGGAACUGCCUUUGAAACUGUCGGGCUUGAGGCCGGGAGAGGGUAGCGGAAUUCCCAGUGUAGCGGUGAAAUGCGUAGAUACUGGGAGGAACACCGGUGGCGAAGGCGGCUACCUGGACCGGUUCUGACGCUGAUGCGCGAAAGCGUGGGUAGCAAACAGG
rnacentral:rRNA from 1 species